UUUCCGAGAGAUGUCAAACAUAAAGUAUCCACCUGAGUCAUAUAGGAUGUAGUCGAGUGGUUAGGGGAGGACGCCAACACAUUUCAGAUCGAUUUAUCUGCUGUUGAAAACUAAGUCACAUUGUUUUUAGAUACAUAAACAGAUUUGGGUCCCGACCUAUUUACAAACCCAAAGAAAGAGUUUAUCUAUGGAUUAGUCUGAGCUCACUCAUAGUCUGAAAUAGAGAUGGGCGUAAAUAACUGUAACUGAAAUCGAGACUUUAACCCGAACCGAAAUAACGGGUUUGGAUCGGUAACGGGACCAUGAAGAAACACCGAAUGGAUCCUUAUAUUAUGGCUUUCGGAUACCGUUCGGUUCGGUUGUAAACCGAGAUCCGAACCAAGCACCCGAUUAAACUGGCUCUAUAUAAUGAAUGUACAUAUACUUUCCUCCGUCACCUGUUCUGAUAAUUUCCUUGUGCGACCAAACCCUAAUUCCAAAAAAGCGUUUUUGAUUCACUCUUUUAAUCACCAACUGAAAACCAUAAAUCUCUUUGUUUCUUCGUCUUGCUCCAUCUGAGAAUUUGAAGAAUCAGUCACAUAUUUUGAUUUCUUCACGUGUACUGAACCGAACCCGGUUAGUUCCGAACGUCCAUGCCUAGUCUGAAGAUACCCAAGUUAACAAAAAAAAAUAUUUCUAAAACAUACCACCAAUAUAUAUUAUCGACUUCGAGAUUUCAAUGACGCUGCAUGUCAGUCUUGUUUUGCUGUGUUUGAUGAUGAUUUACUAUUUUAAUCUAAUUUGAGAUCGAAAAUAGUCAUUGGUUUAAUCAUUGAUCUUCUCCAAUAAAUUCUCAGUUAAUGUACUUGUUACCAUAUUUUAUUGCGUGUCUCUGAAAGGACUGCAAAACUGUAGUCACAUCCAGAUGUGUACAUACGAUGUUAAAAAUAUUAAAAGUAACUUUAAAAAAUAUAUGUUCAAUAAAAAAACUUUUUCAAAAUAUGAAA